rnacentral:rRNA from 1 species
AUACGUAGGUGGCAAGCGUUGUCCGGAAUUAUUGGGCGUAAAGCGCGCGCAGGUGGUUCCUUAAGUCUGAUGUGAAAGCCCCCGGCUCAACCGGGGAGGGUCAUUGGAAACUGGGGAACUUGAGUGCAGAAGAGGAUAGUGGAAUUCCAAGUGUAGCGGUGAAAUGGGUAGAGAUUUGGAGGAACACCAGUGGCGAAGGCGACUGUUUGGUCUGUAACUGACACUGAGGCGCGAAGGCUUGGGGAGUAAACAGGAUUAGAUCCCCUGGUAGCCCACGCCGUAAACGAUGAGUGCUAAGUGUUGGGGGGUUUCCGCCCCUCAGUGCUGCAGCUAACGCAUUAAGCACUACGCCUGGGGAGUACGGUCGCAAGACUGAAACUCAAAGGAAUUGACGGGG